UGUUUCUACUGUCUGUGUUUCUACUGUCUUCUGUCUGUGUUUCUACUGCCUGUGUUUCUACUGUCUGUGUUUCUACUGCCUGUGUUUCUACUGUCUGUGUUUCUACUGUCUGUGUUUCUACUGCCUGUGUUUCUACUGCCUGUGUUUCUACUGCCUGGGUUUCUACUGCCUGUGUUUCUACUGCCUGUGUUUCUACUGCCUGGGUUUCUACUGUCUGGGUUUCUACUGUCUGUGUUUCUACUGCCUGAGUUUCUACUGCCUGGGUUUCUACUGUCUGUGUUUCUACUGUCUGGGUUUCUACUGUCUGGGUUUCUACUGUCUGGGUUUCUACUGUCUGUGUUUCUAUUGACAAUACUUUCCUGACAUUCUUAAGCCAAAACUGGAUAAUGUGAACGAGCAGUCCCAUGAGCAGAAACUGGAUUAAUGCAGCUACAUACCAGCUUGGACUGAGGACCUAGAGAGCAAACACUACUGUACCAGAGGUAGCAGGCUUCGGGGCUUUAGCAAUAUCUAUACUGAUAGAUAUAAUCACGUUUGCCUUCAAGACCCUGACCUCUCAAGAGAGCAUGGAAGACGUUCUGAACCGUGUGUUUGCAGAUGAGGCGUCCUCUGUGAGCGAUGUCAUGGAGGAAGGCCUGAAGACGAUGUCAUAGAGGAAGGCCUGAAGACGAUGUCAUAGAGGAAGGCCUGAAGACGAUGUCGUGGAGGAAGGCCUGAAGACGAUGUCAUGGAGGAAGGCCUGAAGACGAUGUCGUGGAGGAAGGACUGAAGACGAUGUCGUGGAGGAAGGCCUGAACACGAUGUCGUGGAGGAAGGCCUGAAGACGAUGUCAUGGAGGAAGGACUGAAGACGAUGUCGUGGAGGAAGGCCUGAACACGAUGUCAUGGAGGAAGGCCUGAACACGAUGUCAUGGAGGAAGGCCUGAAGACGAUGUCGUGGAGGAAGGCCUGAACACGAUGUCGUGGAGGAAGGCCUGAACACGAUGUCAUGGAGGAAGGCCUGAACACGAUGUCAUGUAGCUGUAGCUCAGUUGGUAGAGCAUGGUGUUUGCAACACCAGGGUUGUGGGUUCGAUUCCCACGGGGGGCCAGCACAGAAAAAAAAUGUAUGAAAUUGUAUGAAAUGUAUGCAUUCACUACUGUAAGUCGCUCUGGAUAAGAGCGUCUGCUAAAUGACUAAAAUGUAAAUGUAAAUGUCAUGGAGGAAUGCCUGAAGACGAUGUCAUAGAGGAAGGCCUGAACACGAUGUCAUGGAGGAAGGCCUGAAGACGAUGUCAUAGAGGAAGGCCUGAAGAUGAUGUCAUGGAGGAAGGCCUGAAGACGAUGUCAUAGAGGAAGGCCUGAAGAUGAUGUCAUGGAGGAAGGCCUGAAGACGAUGUCAUGGAGGAAUGCCUGAACACGAUGUCAUGGAGGAAGGCCUGAACACGAUGUCAUGGAGGAAGGCCUGAAGACGAUGUCAUAGAGGAAGGCCUGAAGAUGAUGUCAUGGAGGAAGGCCUGAAGAGACGGAAGAUGAACAUGAUGUGGAAAAGAUGAAGAGAUGCAAACGUUGUGUUUCCAUUGACGCAACUGAAGAACUCCAUGCUGGAAGAUGGCCACAUGAAGACUCGUCCUCUCAAGAUCUGGAUCAACCAGAUCAUGGACAUGACCCCUUCCAUGUCCAGAUGCUGAUCCAGCUGGCUCGACUGGAGGUGGGGGCUGAUGGCUGCUCAGCGCAUGCAGCCAUCUCAACCUACCAGAACAACCUGAAAGAACUUCUCCUUAAAAGCUGACCGCAACCUGAAAUCGGGCACUAGGAUUACUUCAAAAAAAGAUGUAUAUGUUUACAUUACUUAUUUUAUAAAAUCCCUGCAGUUUUUUAAGUCAAAAGACUGAAAUCGACCUUUCUAGGACCAUGUAAAGGUCCUUUGUCGGAUAAACAUGUAUCUACCUCCCUCUGGUGGUCGGCUGCAUCAUUACAUCAAUGUGUAUCACUUCACUCCGACGUCACAUCAAAUUGGGGCAGUCCUUAGAAAAACAUUUAUCCAACUCGACUGCUUCACAGCACAGACAUGGCAAAGCAAUUGCUGAAUUUGUCUCGAGCAGUUGAAUCUAAAUAUAUAACUUUCAUAGCUCUACAAUAAAGAAUGCGACCUACACACUUCCUUAAACCUAAAAUAAAUAAAGAAGUAAUUAUGUGUGGAAGUAAAGAAAUGUUUUAUGUUGGAGGCAGACACAUUGCAUAUGCUACAGAACAACAAAAUGGAGCCCUUUACAUAGUCCUUCUCCCCUUGUCUAUAGGAGUAACACACGCUGUCUAAAUGGCCCAAAUGUUGAUUUAGACCCUUUACAUAGUCCUUCUCCCCUUGUCUAUAGCAGGGACACACGCUGUCUAAAUGGCCCAAAUGUUGAUUUAGACCCUUUACAUAGUCCUUCUCCCCUUGUCUAUAGCAGGGACACACACUGUCUAAAUGGCCCAAAUGUUGAUUUAGACCCUUUACAUAGCCCUUCUCCCCUUGUCUAUAGCAGGGACACACGCUGUCUAAAUGGCCCAAAUGUUGAUUUAGACCCUUUACAUAGUCCUUCUCCCCUUGUCUAUAGCAGGGACACACGCUGUCUAAAUGGCCCAAAUGUUGAUUUAGACCCUUUACAUAGUCC
rnacentral:lncRNA from 1 species